GUCUCAAACUCCUGACCUCAGGUGAUCCACCCGCCUUGGCCUCCCAAAGUGCUGGGAUUACAGGCGUGAGCCACCACUCCCAGCCCACUUUCCUGUUGAUUCUGUCUCUCUGGGAGAACCCUCACUAAUAAACCUUACUUGAGCUUCAAAAUAAUAAUGCUCAAAAGACACCCUCAUUUGGGGUGCCAGUCUGGCAUUUGUUCUCUACCAGUGCCUGGUAGCAAAUCUGAAGCUGUGUAAUGCUUAAAUGGAGAAUAGUCAUUUUCAGAGGAGGGUAUAUCUUUGCUCUAAACCCCUUGGAGUCUGUGCUGUGACUUUUUUUUUUUUUUUUUUUUUUUUUGAGACAGAGUCUUGCUCUUGUUGCCCAGGCUGGAGUGCAAUGGCGUGAUCUCGGCUCACUGCAACCUCUGCCUCUUGGGUUCAAGCGGUUCUCCUGCCUCAGCCUCCUGAGUAGCUGGGAUUAUAGGCACCCACCACCACGUGCAGCCAAUUUUUUGUAUUUUUUAGUAAAGACUUUAAAGACAUUUAAAUUUCACCAUGUUGUCCAGGCUGGUCUUGAACUCCUGACCUCAGGUGAUCCACCCCACCUUGGUCUCCCAAAGUGCUGGGAUUACAGGAGUGAGCCACUGCACCCAGCCUGUGCUGUGACUCUUAUACUGGUCCCUCCCAGAACUUACAGGAGCAUGACCUGUCACAGACACCCUGAGCGCCACCGGAUCUGCAGGGUUAUCUGUCAAAUGGGUCAGAGCAGCAUACUCAAAUGUGGUCGCUAUUGUCUCUAAAAGUCAAGGAAAGCCAGCAGUGCAGGACACUGAAAUCCAGACGUCAUUCCACUAGCUAAGCUAAGCAAACAGUUGGAGCUAUCCCAGUUGUCGAAGCUAACACGCUGGAUUGAGACUCUUUUGCAAGUCAGCUCUGUUGGUAACUAGAGGCUCUGGAUUGACCCAUUAGAAUCCACUCCCAUAUAUUCCCCAGGUUUCUGCUGGUAAAAAUUGAUUGAUAUCCCACAAUUCCUUCAGUGUGUGAACUUCUCCCAAAUCAGGUGUUUUGUUUUGUUUUGUUUGGAGACAGUCUCACUCAGUAGCCCAGGCUGGAGUACAGUGACAUGAUCUCAGCUCACUGCAACUUCCGCCUCCCAGGUUCAAGUGAUUCUUAUGCCUCAGCCUCCUGAGUAGCUAGGAUUACAGGCAUGUGCCACCACGCCCAGCUGAUUUUUAUAUUUUUAGUAGAGACAGUGUUUUGCCAUGUUGGCCAGGCUGGUCUUGACAUCCUGGCCUCAAAAGAUCCACCCACCUCGGCCUCCCAAAGUUCUGGGAUUACAGGCGUGAGCCACCACGCGUGGUGUAUAGUAAGUUUUGAAAUCAGGAAGUGUGAUUCCUCCAGGUUUGUUCUUUUUCAUGAUAGUUUUGGCUAUUUGGGGUCCCUUGAAUUUUAGGAUGGAUUUUUCUAUUUCUGUAGAAAACACUGUUGGCUGAUAUAUUAUUUUAACUUAGGGUGUAGUAAGCAUAGAAGCAGGAGACCACGUAGGAGGCAGUUCAGGGAGAAAUUGACAGUGCUUCAGAAUGGAGAGGUGGCAUUGGAUGCAGAGAAGCCUGGACAAUUUGGGAAGUGUUUGGAUGGUGAAAUCAAUAGGAUUUAGUGAUGGAUUGGAUGGGUUAGGAGUGAAAAAAAGAAUCAAGAAUGACUCCUCAUGCCGGGCGUGGUGACUCACGCCUGUAAUCUCAGCACUGUGGGAGGCUGAGGCAGGUGGAUCAUCAGAGGCCAGGAGUUCGAGACCAGCCUGGCCAACAUGAUGAAACCUCUUCUCUACGAAUAUAUAUAUAUAUACACACACACACACAAAUUAGAUGGGCGUGGUGGUAUGCGCCUGUAAUCCCAGCUAUUGGGGAGGCUGAGGCAGGAGAAUCGCUUGAACCCAGGAGGUAGAGGUUACAGUUAACUGAGAUUGCGCCAUUACACUUUAGCCUGGGUGACAAGAGCAAAACUCCAUCUCAAAAACAAAAAAAGAAUGACGCCUUAGUUUGGGGUUAGAGCAAAUGGUGCUGCCUAUUUCUGGGAUAGGGAAGAUGAGAAGGAAUACAGUUGGGGACAGAGGUAUCAAGAGUUAUAUGACGGCACAGAAGUCCAAGAUGGCUAUAAGACAGGUGGGAAGGUCAGUGGAGGCUCAAGGGGGACAUGCAGGCUGGGAUAAAAAUGUGAGCAUCCCCAGAUAGGUGGCCUGUAGGGCCAUGAGACUGGUAGGGUGACUGAGUGAGGAGAGUAGCCGGAGAAGGGGAGGUCCAAGGACCCAGACCCACCUGGUUAUUUCACAUUUGGGGCCAGACUUGCUUUGUUUACCAUUGAUCUGAGCAUGAAAAUCAAGUGAAAAUCAAAAGGAAGCCAGGAGCCACUCCUCCUCCGUGACUGUGGAUCCUGGGCGGAUGUUUGGUUGCUGCAGUGAGACCCCUGACUUUGUGUGGGCAGUGGGACCAACUGGGCAUGUGCAGUGAUCAGUUGCUAAAUAUUGGCACUCUCAUUAGCCUUGGGAUCUGGAAACCCCCAUCCACCAGACACAGCCCACUUCCAGCUCACCCGCUCCCCAUGCUAGGACUCUGAACACCCCCCCGCUCUCCAUGCUAGGACUCUGAACACCCUUUCUUCAUGCCUCUCCUCCUUCCUAAGUGCCUGCUCCAGCAGGCCUCAGGCCACUUCUUUUUUGUGUGCCACCACACCCAGUGGUGUAUUUAAAAUAACAAAAGCUGGAGGAACACGGUGGCACAUACCUAUAAUCCCAACAAUUUGGGAGUCUGAGGCAGGAGGAUUACUUAAGCCCAGAAGUUCAAGACCAGCCUGGGAAACAUGGUGAGACCUCGACUCUAAAAAGUUUUUAAAAUUAGCCAGAUGUGGUGCUGGGCACCUAUAGUCCCAACUACUUGGGAGGCUAAGGUGGGAGGAUCACUUGAGCCAGGAGUUUGAGGCUGCAGUGAGCUGUAAUUGCACCCCUGAACUCUAGCCUGGGUGACAGAGCAAGACCCUGUCUCUAAAAAACAAACAAACAAAACAAAAAGGCUGGUUGCAGUGGCUCACAUCUGUAAUCUCAGCACUUUGGGAGGCUGAGGCAGGUGGAUCACCUGAGGUCAGGAGUUCGAGACCAGCCUGACCAACAUGGUGAAACCCUGUCUCUUAAAAAUACAAAAAUUAGGGCUGGGCGCGGUGGCUCACGCCUGUAAUCCCAGCACUUUGGGAGGCUGAGGCAAGUGGAUCACGAGGUCAGGAGAUCGAGACCAUCCUGGAUAACACGGUGAAACCCCGUCUCUACUAAAAAUAAAAAAAAAUUAGCCAGGCGUGGUGGUGGGCACCCGUAGUCCCAGCUACUCGGGAGGCACUCCAGCUUGGGCGACAGAGCGAGACUCUAUCUCAAAAAAAAAAAAAAAAAAUACAAAAAUUAGCCAGGCAUGGUGGCAGGUGCCUGUAAUCCCAGCUAUUCCGGAGGCUGAGACAGGAGAAUCACUUGAACCUGGGAGGCGGAGGUUACAGUGAGCCGAGAUGGCACCAUUGCACUCCAGCCUGGGCAACAAAUAAAAUAGAGUGGGCACCCACAGUGGCCAGCACUGGGCCAGGAGUCAGGAUGUAUGCUCUACAAGACUCAUGAUGUAGUGGUACCCCAUGUUAGAGAGUGAGGUGUGGCCCUAACUGCUGCCCUCACACACUGCUGGUGGCAAUGCUAUAUGUUCCAAACACUUUGGAAAAUAGGUUACAGUUCUUAAAAAGCUAAACAUCCUCUUACCAUGGGAGCCAGCACUUGUACUUCUGUUAUUUACCCAAAGAAACAAACAGGUAUGUCCAAACAGGAUUGUCCCUGAAUGUUCAUUUCAGCUUUAUUCAUAGUAACUAUGAGUGGAAACAGCUCAAACAUCCGUGAGCAGAGAGACUGUUCACAAACCAUGGCACAUCCCUGCGUGGAACACCAACAGCGGGAGAAGCAACGGGCACACACAGUCGCCCAGAUGACUCAGAAGCACUGUGCCAAGGGAAGCCAGACAGAAGAGCACUCCCUGCAGGACUGUGUUACAUGAAAUUCUAGAUCAGGCUGAGCACAUUCACAGUGACAGGAAACAGAUCCUUGGUUGCCUGCCAGGGUGGGGAUGGGGGCUGACUGCCAAGGGGCAUGGUGGAAAUGUCUGUAUUUUGAUUGUGAAAGUGGUUAUAAGGGUGUAUACGCUUGUCAAAACUAAUUACAUUGUACACUUAAAAGGGAUGCCUUUUACUCUAUGAAAUUAUGUCAUGAUGAAGUUGAUUUAAAAGAAAAGGCCCUGUUGGCCGGGCGUGGUGGCUCAUGCCUGUAAUCCCAUCACUUUGGGAGGCCUACGCUGGUGGAUCAUGAGGUCAGGAGAUCGAGACCAUCCUGGUUAACACGGUGAAAUCCCGUCUCUACUAAAAAUACAAAAAAUUAGCCGGGUGUUGUGGCGGGCCUCUAUAGUCCCAGCUACUCGAGAGGCUGAGGCAGGAGAAUUGCCUGAACCUGGGAGGCAGAGGUUGCAGUGAGACAAGGUUGCAUCACUGCACUCCAGCCUGGGCGACAGAGCAAGACUCCAUCUCAAAAAAAAAAAGAAAAAAGAAGAGGCCCUGUCAUUGCUCUCAUGGAGCCAGGGGUGGGGGACAGGGGUGAGGGGUGUAAUUCAAGUUAUGACAGAAAUGCACAUGGAGUCACAACCUGUGAUGAAGCCGCAGGGACUCUGAAGACACCACAGCGUGAGGUGGCGGCGUUUGGUUGGCAAUGGGGCAGGGGGCUCGGGCCAGAGGGAGAGCCCAGGGUGGGAGAAUGGCUUGUGCAGAUGCUGUGCAUAAAAAACAAGGACUUGGCCGGGCGCGGUGGCUCACGCUUGUCAUCCCAGCACUUUGGGAGGCCAAGGUGGGGGGAUCACCUGAGAUUGGGAGUUUGAGACCAGCCUGACCAACAUGGAGAAAACCCAUCUCUACUAAAAAUACAAAAUCAGCUGGGUGUGGUGGUGCAUGCCUGUAAUCCCAGCUACUGGGGAGGCUGAGGGCAGGAGAAUCGCUUGAACCGGGAAGCAGAGGUUGCAGUGAGCCAAGAUCGCGCCAUUGCACUCCAACCUGGGCAACAAGGGCAAAACUGUCUCGAAAAAAAAAAAAAAAGAAAGAAAAGGAAAAAUUAGCCAAGCAUAGCGGCAUGUGUCUGCAGUUCCAGCUACUUGGGAGGCUGAGGCAGGAGGAUUGCUUGAGCCCAGGAGUUCCAGGCUGCAGUGAGCUAUGAUCGCUUCACUGCACUCCAGCUUGGGUGACAAAGUGAAACCCCAUCUCUAAAACAACAACAACAAAACAACAAAAAUAAGGACCCGAUGCAGGAGCCCCAAGAAGCCAGCCUGCUGAGGGGAGGGGUGGGAAAGGCGAGGAGGGGAGUUUCAUGACAGAGAUGGGGUCCGACCCAGGAUAGAUCGUUAUGCUCGUAGCUAGCAUCAUGAUCAUCACUACAGUCUUCCUCUUAUCACCAAAGCAACACCUCUCCAGUACAGAAAAAGAAAAGCAGAUAGGCAAAAAGAAGGAAAAGCAUCUGGGCACAGUGGUUUACGCCUGUAAUCCCAGCACUUUGGGAGGCCGAGGGAGGCGGAUCACUUAAAGUCAGGAGUUCGAGACCAGCCUGGGCAUCAUGGCAAAACCACCUCUCUACUAAAAUUACAAAAAUUAGCUGGGGUUGGUGGCACACACCUGUAAUCCCAGCUACUCAGGAGGCUGAGGCAGGAGAAUCACCUGAACCUGGGAGGCGGAGGUUGCGGUGAGCCGAGAUCGCAACCCUGUACUCCAGCCUGAGCGACAGAGCCAGACUCCAUCUCAAAAAAAAAAAAAAAGAAAAAGAAAGACCUCAUGCUUCCACCCACAAUCCUGCCUCACUCAGAUUUCUGGUGUGUGCCCUUCCAGACUUUUCCUAUUGAUUUAGGCCUUGAAGGACAAGGAGGAGCUCACCAGAGAGGGAAGGUGCUUGGGCCUGAGGAGCAGCCUGGAGGAAGGUGAGCAGCAGAGUGAGCUCCAUGCAGAGGAUCCUGCUAGGAAUCCCGCUCCUCCAUGCCGUCCGUAAAAGAAGAACAGAACCUACAUGCAGGGCAGUGAGAACGGAGCCAGCCAGCGUGAAAAGGGACUCUCCAGAGCUUGGCGCAGAGCUCACAGCAGAUAGAGUGUCGCUCUGUUAGCCAUGCUGCACAGGCGCGAUCUCGGCUCACUGUAACCUCCACCUCCUGGGUUCAAGCAAUUCUCAUGCUUCAGCCUUUCAAGUAGCUGGGAUUACAGGCGUGUGCGACCAUGCCCGGCUAAUUUUUGUAUUUUUGGUAGAUACAGGGUUUCACCAAGUUGGCCAGGCUGUUCUCAAACUCCUGACCUCAAGUGAUCCGCCUGCCUUGACCUCCCAAAGUGCUGGGAUUACAGGCAUGAGCCACAGUGCCUGGCCCCCUUUCUCACUUUGGAAGGAACUAUUUAUGUAAGUGCUUGUUUUAUGUCACUUUGCAGAUUGGCAACCUGAAGGCGGGAGUGAGUCAGCGUCCCUCAGUAGCAGGAAGUGAGUGGGAGCGGGGAAGGAGCCAUGCAGAUUCCAGACGCACCUCAGGUCCUGGUUGGUGUGCUUAGAAUUCAUCCCAAUUAUGUUUACAUGUCAUUCAUUCAUUCACUCAUUUUUAUUUUUAUUUUAUUUCGAUUUUUUCCUCUGUUUUCAUACACCAUUUCUGGCACCAUAUUUUUAUUUUUAAUUGAGACAGCGUCUUGCUCUAUUGCUCAGGCUGGAGGGCAGUGGUGCAAUCUCAACUCACUGCAGCCUUGACCUCCUGGGCUCAAGCAAUCUUCCCACCUCAGCCUUCUGAAUAGCUGGGACUACUGGUGCAUGCCACCAUGCCCAACUAAUUUUUUUGUUUUUUUAAAGAUAGGGUCUCACGGCCAGGUGCGGUGGCUCAUGCCUGUAAUCCCAGCACUUUGGGAGGCCAAUGCUGGCGGAUCACAAAGUCAGAUCGAGAUCAUCCUGGCUAACACGGUGAAACCCUGUCUCUACUAAAAAUACAAAAAAAUUAGCCGGGCUUGGUGGCAGGCACCUGUAGUCCCAGCUACUUGGGAGGCUGAGGCAGGAGAAUGGCGUGAACCCGGGAGGCGGAGCUUGCAGUGAGCCGAGAGUGCACCACUGUACUCCAACCUGGGCGACAGAGCAAGAUUCUGUCUCAAAAAAAAAGAUAGGGUCUCAUUAUGUUGCCCAGGCUGGUCUCGAACUUGUGGGUUCAAGUGAUCCUCCCCACCUUGGCCUCCCAAAGUGCUGGGACUGCAGAUGUAAGCCAUGGCACCCAGCCUUAAGUUUACAUUUCUUAAAUGACAAGAUGUUUAGCCCUUUAGUGGAUCCUUCCUUUUUUUUUUUUUUUUCAAGAAGUCUUUUGAGCAUUAUUAUUUUGAAGGUCAAGUAAGUUUUAUUAGUGAGGGUUCUUCCAGAGAGACAGAAUCGACAGGGAAUUGGGCUGGGGGCGGUGGCUCACCCCUGUAAUCCCAGCACUUUGGGAGGCCGAGGCGGGUGGAUCACCUGAGGUCAGGAGUUCGAGACCAGCCUGGCCAACAUGGUAAAACCCUGUCUCUACUAAAAAUACAAAAAAUUAGCCAGGUAUGGUAGCAGGCGCCUGUAAUCCUACCUACUCGGGAAGCCGAGGCAGGAGAAUCACUUGAACCUGGGAGGUGGAGGUUGCCGUGAGCCGAGACCGCGCCCCUGAACUCCCACCUGGGCAACAAGAGCAAAACUCUGUCUAAAAAAAAAAAAAAAGUUGGCACGGUGGCUCACACCUGUAAUCCCAACACUUUGGGAUGCCGAGGCGGGUGAAAUCACCUGAGAUCAGGAGUUCGAGACAGCCUGACCAACAUGGAGAAACCCUGUCUCUACUAAAAAUACAAAAUUAGCCAGGCAUGGUGGCACAUGCCUGUAAUCCCAGCUACUCGAGAGACUGAGGCAGGAGAAUCGCUUGAACCCAGGAGGCAGAUGUUGCAGUGAGCUUAGAUCGUGUCAUUGCACUCCGGCCUGGGCAAUAAGAGCGAAACUCCAUAUCAAAAAAACAAAACAAAACAAAACAAAAACCACACAACGGGGAAUUGGUUCUUAUGAUCACAGAGGCGAAGUCCCAUGAUAAACUGUCUGCAAGCUGGAGAAAUGGAGAAGCUGGGAGCCUGGCUCAGUGCAGGUCUGGCAGCCUCAGAACCAGGGAAGUUGAUCGUACAGGCCCCAGUCUGAGGCUAAAGGCCUGAGGGCCCCCGGGAGGCCACUGGUGCAACAGAGUCUGCAUCUAGAGUCUGAAAACCAGGGAACCUGUCUGAGGACAACAGGAGAAAAGGUGUCCUGGCCGGGCACGGUGGCUCACGCCUGUAAUCCCAGCACUUUGGGAGGCUGAGGCGGGUGGAUCACAGGUCAAGAAAUCGAGACCAUCCUGGCCAACAUGGCAAAACCCUGUCUCUACUAAAAAUACAAAAAUUAGCUGGGCAUGGUGGUGCAUGCCUGCAGUCCCAGCUACUCGGGAGGCUGAGGCAGGAGAAUCGCUUGAACCGGAGAGGCGGAGGUUUCAGUGAGCCGAGAUCAUGCCAGUGCAAUCCAGCCUGGCAACAGAGUGAGACUCCAUCUCAAAAAAAAGAAAAAGGAAAAGAGAAGGUGUCCUGCUCCAGAAGGGAGGGAAAGCAGAGAGGGCCAGUGCCCCCUCUUCCUCCUGUUCAUCCCAACUGGGCCCCCAACCAUUUAGACCUUCAUUAAGGGUGGGUCUCCCUCUCUCAGGCCACUGACUCACCCACUAAUCUUCCUUGGAAACAUCCUCACAGACACUCAGAAUGCUCCACCAGCCAGCGGCCAUCCCUCCAUCCAGUCAAGUUGACACCUGAAAUUAACCAUCAACCAAGUCUCUUGGGACUUCUUCUUCACCUUGAUUUCAAGCAACAAGCAACAGUUCAAAUAACUACAACUAACAAAGUGAGCACAUUCAGGAAAAGCUAGUCAAAAGAGAAGGGCUGGGCGCGAUGGUUCAUACCUGUAAUCCCAGCGCUUUGGAAGGCCGAGGCAGGUGGAUCACUUGAGGCCAAGACCAGCCUGGCAAACAUGGCAAAACCUUGUCUCUACUAAAAAUACAAAAAUUAGCCGGGCAUGGUGGCGUGCGUCUGUGAUCCCAGCUACUCAGGAGGCUGAGGUGGGAGGAUUGCUUGAACCCUAGGUAGAGGUUGUGGUGAGCCAAGAUGGCGCCACUGCACUCCAUCCUGGGCAAUAGAGUGAGACUCUGUCUCAAAAAAACAAACAAACAGCAGAGAAGUAGGCCCGGCACAGUGGCUCAUGCCUGUAAUCCCAGCACUUUGGGAGGCUGAGGCGGGUGGACCACUUGAGGUCAGGAGUUCGAGACCAGCCUAACCAACGUGGUGAAACUCUGUCUCUACUAAAAAUACAAAAAUUAGCCGGUCACAGUGGUGCAUGCCUGUAAUCCCAGCUACUCAGGAGGCUGAGGCAGGAGAAUUGCUUGAACCUGGGAGGCGGAGGUUGCAGAGACCCAAGAUCAUGCCACUGCACUCCAGCCUGGGCAUCAGAGAGAGACUCCGUCUCAAAAACAAACAAAUGAAAACAAAAGAAGAGAAGGCGCUGUCACUCCCUCAUAAGUGGGGAAGGGCCAUCUCAGUGUGUCUGAGGCCUCUGUCAUCAGGUUUCUCCCUCUUCCCGCGUGGCCUGGAAGAAGCUUCAGUCCCAGUGCUGGGAGCUUGCAACGCUGUGACAGUGCCCCUACUUUGGCCUGGAAUCACGUCAGCUCAAUGUGGCCACCCUGGUGGGAGACCCCGCUGAUAAGCUCUUUGGCUGUUUUUGAUGUGCUUAAUUAAUAAUGUGGAUGAGAAGACAAUGCAAUGAUUUCUUAAUAUUUGUGGCAUAUAGGGCAGGGCUCUUAUUCAUACCCUGCUUGGGCUGUAUAAGUUGAACUGACUUACUGGAAAGAUAUAGGCUGGGUGCAGUGGCUCACGCCUGUAAUCCCAGCACUUUGGGAAGCCGAGGCAGGCGGAUCACCUGAGGUCAGGAGUUCGAGACCAGCCUGACCAACACGAAGAAACCCCAUCUCUACUAAAAAUACAAAAAAGUUAGCCGGACGUGGUGGCAGGUGCCUGUAAUCCCAGCUACUCAGGAGGCUGAGGCAGGAGAAUCGCUUGAACCUGGGAGGCAGAGGCUGCAGUAAGCCAAGAUUGAGCCAUUGUACUCCAGCCUGGGCAACAAGAGCGAAACUCUGUCUAAAAAAAAAAAAAAAAAAAAAAAAAAAAAAAGGAUAUUUGGCAGUAUGUAGCUAAGGCCUUAAAAGUGGGCUUAGCCCUAGAUUCAGGAAGUCUGCCUCUGGGCCUGUCUCUGAGGAAAUGAUCAGAAGAUUGCAAAAAGCAAUAUACAUAAAGAUAUUCAUAGCAGUGUUAAUAGUCUGAUUGGAAUCAAACACUUUACACACAGGCUUUUUAUUUAUUUAUUUUUUUUGAGACAGAGUCUCGCCCUGUCACCCAGGCUGGAGUGCAGUGAAUGCACGAUCUCAGCUCACCACAACCUCCGCCUCCUGGGUUCAAGCGAUUCUCCUGCCUCAGCCUCCCGAGUAGCUGGGAUUACAGGCGCCUGCCACCAUGCCUAGCUAAUAUUUUGUAUUUUUAGUAGAGAUGGGGUUUCACCAUGUUGGCCAAGCUGGUCUGGAACUCCUGACCUCAGGUGAUCAGCUACUCAGAAGGCUGAGCCAGGUUCAAGCGAUUCUCAUGUCUCAGCCUCCCAAGUAGCUGGGAUGACAGGCUCCUGCCGCCAUGCCUGGCUGAUUUUUGUAUUUUUAGUAGAGACAGGGUUUCACCAUGUUGGCCAGGCUGGUCUCAAACUCCUGACUUCAGGUGAUCCACCCGCCUCAGCCUCCCAAAGUGUUGAGAUUACAGGCAUGAGCCACCUUGCCUGGCCUGAAAUCCACCUUGAGCACGUCGCUUGCCACCUCGGAGCGCAAGCCCCCUUAGGUGACAGUGGAGUUCAGGCCCACAGCAAGGCGGGGAGGCACAGAGGAACUGGGUACAGACCAGGCCAGGCUCCCUAGACAAUAGCCCCAGCUUGGCCACUGAGUCUGUUCCUCUCCCAGGCUGGGGUCAGCCCAUCUGACUUGAGCGAAGGUCUACACAUCUCUGCUUCCUCGCUGUGAUCUCCUAGAUAACCGCCCGUGAAGAAGUCCUUGCCCUCAGCCCUAAGCUGUGAAACUGCUGCCUUCCAUGGCAAAAGGGACUGUGCAGGUGUGAGUCAGUUCAUGACCUUGACUGGAGAGGUGAUCCUGGGUUACUUAGGCGGCCCAGCGGAAUGGCAUGAAUCCCAGAAGAGGAGGUCAAACGCAGAAGAGCCUGUCUGAGAGAAGUGACGGCAGAGGAGGAGGCAGGGAGGUGCCGUGUGCUCAUCAGCCAUCAUCGGCUUUGCAAGCUGUUAGGGGGCUGCCCCUAGACGCUGAGAAUGGUCCCCACUGACCCCAGCAAGGUGACAGCACCUCAGUCCCACGCUGCAAGGAUGUGCAUUCUGCAGACAAUACAAAUGAGCACAGAAAAGGGAUUCUCCACUGGCCCCCAUUACGGAACUGCAGGGUUAUACGUUGUGCUGUUGUCAGCCUCUAAAUUUGUAGAAGUUUGUGACGGCAGCAAAGAAAACAAAUGGAGUCUGCAAACUCCCUUUCCCUGGGGAGGAGGGACUGGUCCUCAUCCGGUCCUGGCGUGGCCCCGGGCCACGCUCUCCUGAAUGGAUGUGCAAGGCCAUUUCUCUGUGGUCUCUGUCUGGAACGUGGACGCAGACGGGAGCUUGGGAAGUCCAAUUUUACUUGGCUUUGUGCCCAAACCAAGCUCUGGAUAUGAGUGCACUUGUUUAAAAAAAAAAAAAAGACAAGCACUGACCCACUUUUUCCUGACUGCUCUGGCUCAGACACGUCCCUCUAAAAGGACAUUUAUUUCAAGAACACGCCGUUCCCAGGGCUGACAUCCCCCACCUCCACUGGAAGCAGAAGCACUAACAAGAGAUUGCAAGGUCUGGCGUCCAGUGUCUGAUAAUGGAGCAAAUGUUCCACUGAAAGCCGGACCUGAUGACUGCAUCAGCCUGGCGCUGGAGGGGCUGGGAGUUUGGCCUGAGCAAACUCAGUUGCUUAAAACAACACAAAUUUAUUUAUUUUUUUAAUUUUAUCUUUUUAAGUCCCAGGCUACAUGUGCAGGAUGUGCAGGUUUGUUGCAUAGGUAAAUGUGUGUCGUGGUGGUUUGCUGCACCUAUCAACCCAUCACCUAGGUUUAAGCACAGCAUGCCUUAGCUCUUUUUUCUAAUGUUCUGCCCCCACCCCCCACCAGGACCCCAGUGUGUGUGGUUCUCCUCCCUGAGUCCACAUGUUCUCAUUGUUCAGCUCCCACUUAUAAGUGAGAACAUGCAGUGUUUGGUUUUCUGUUCCUGUGUUAGUUUGCUGAGGAUAAUGGCUUCUAGCUCCAUCCAUGUCCCUGAAAAGACAUGAUCUUGUUCCUUUUUCUUUUUUUUGAGACAAAAUUUCGCUCUCGUUGCCCAGGCUGGAGUGCAAUGGCACUAUCUCAGCUCACUGCCUUGCGGGUUCAAGUGAUUCUCCUGCCUCAGUCUCCUGUGUAGCUGGGAUUACAGGCAUGCGCCACCACACCCGGCUAAUUUUGUAUUUUUAGUAGAGGCGGGGUUUCACCAUGUUAAUCAGGCUGGUCCCGAACUCCUGAUCUCAGGUGAUCCACCCACCUCUGCCUCCUGAAGUGCUGGGAUUACAGGCGUGAGCCACCACACCUGGCCUCUUAUUCCUUUUUAUGGCUGCGUGUAUGAUAUGGUUUGACUCUGUGUCCCCACCCUAACCUCAUCUAGAAUUGUACUCCCAUAAUUCCCACAUGUUGUAGGAGGGACCUGGUGGGAGAGAAUUUGAAUCAUGGGCGUGGUUUCCCCCAUAUUGUUCUCAUGAUAGUUAAUAAGUCUCACGAGAUCUAAUGGUUUUAUCAGGGGUUUUCACUUUUGCAUCUUCCUCAUUUUCUCUUGCCAUUGCCAUGUAAGAAGUGCCUUUUACCUCCUGCCAUGAUUCUGAGGCCUCCCCAGCCAUGUGGAACUGUAAGUCCAAUUAAACCUCUUUUUCUUCCCAGUCUCGGGUAUGUCUUUAUUAGCAGUGUGAAAACCCACUAGUACAGUAAAUUGGUACCAGCAGAGUGGGGCGUUGCUGAAAAGAUACCUGAAAAUGUGGAAGCAACUUUGGAACUGGGUGACAGGUGGAGGUUAGAACAGUCUGGAGGGUAAAGACGAAGACAGGAAAAUGUGGGAAAAGUUUGGAACUUCCUAGAGACUUGUUGAAUGGCUUUGCCCAAAAUGCUGAUAGCGACAUGAACAAUAAGGUCCAGGCUGAGGUGAUCUAAGAUGGAGAUGAGGAACUUGGGAACUAGAGCAAAGAAGACUCUUGUUAUGUUUUAGCCAAGAGACUGGCAGCAUUUUGCCCCUGCCCUAGAGAUUUUUGGAACUUUGAACUUGAGAGAGAUGAUUUAGGGUAUCUGGCAGAAGAAAUUUCUAAGCAGCAAAGCAUUCGAGAGGUGACUUGGGUGUUGUUAAAAGCAUUCAGGUUUUUUUUUUUUUUUUUUUUUUGAGACGGAGUCUGGCUUUGUCGCCCAGACUGGAGUGCAGUGGUGUGACCUUGGCUCACUGCAACCUCUGCCUCCUGGGUUCAAGCAAUUCUCCUCCUUCAGCCUCCAGAGUAGCUGGGACUACAGACGUGGGACACCAUGCCUGGCUAAUUUUUGUAUUUUUAGUAGAGAUGUGGUUUUACCAUGUUAGCCAGGCUGGUCUGGAACUCCUGACCUCAGGAAAUCCACCCACCUCAGCCUCCCAAAGUGCUGAGAUUACAGGUGUGGGCCACCACGCCCAGCCUAAAAGCAUUCAGUUUGAAAAGGGAAACAGAGUACUAAAGUUUGAAAAAUUUGCAGGCUGACAAUGCAAUAGAAAAGAAAAUCCCAUUUUCUGAGGAGAAAUUCAAGCCAGCUACAGUAAUUUGCAUAAGUAACAAGGAGCCAAAUGUUAAUCCCCAAGACAAUGGGGAAAAUGUCUCCAGGGCAUGUCAGAGGACUUCACUGUAGCUCCUUCCAUCACAGGCCCAGAGGCCUAGGAGGAAAAAGUGGUUUCAUGGGCUGGGCUCAGGGUCCCCGAGCUGUGUGCAGCCUAGGAUUUGGUGCCCUUCAUCCCAGCCACUCUGGCUGUGGCUGAAAGGGGCCAACAUAGAGCUUGGGCCGUGGCUUCCAAGGGUGCAAGCCCCAAUCCUUGGCAGCUUCCAUGUGGUGUUGAGCCUGUGGGUGCACAGAAGUCAAGAAUUGAGGUUUGGGAACCUCCACCUAGAUUUCAGAAGAUGUAUGGAAACGCUUGGAUGCCCAGGCAGAAGUUUGCUGCAGGGGUGGGGCCCUCACGGAGAACCUCUGCUAGGGAAGUGCAGAAGGGAAAUGUGGGGUCAGAGCCCCCACACAGAGUUCCUACUGGGGCACUGCCUAGUGGAGCUGUGAGAAGAGGGCCACCGUCCUGCAGACCCCAGAAUGGUAGAUCCACCGACAUCUUGCACCAUGUGCCUGGAAAAGGCACAGACACUGAACGCCAGCCAGGGAAAGCAGCCAGGAGGGAGGCUGUACCCUGCAAAGCCACAAGGGCAGAGCUUCCCAAGACCAUGGGAACCCACCUCUUGCCUCAGCAUGAUCUGGAUGUGAGAUCUGGAGUCAAAGGAGAUCAUUUUGGAAUUUUAAGAUUUGACUGCCCUGCUGGAUUUCAGACUUCCAUGGGCCCUGUAACCCCUUUGCUUUGACCAAUUUCUCCCAUUUGGAAUGGCUGUAUUUUCCCAAUAACCUGUACCCCCAUUGUAUCUAGGAAGUAACUAUUUCGCUUUUGAUUUUACAGGCUCAUAGGUAGAAGGGACUUGCCUUGUCUCAGAUGAGACUUUGGACUAUGGACUUUUCGGUUAAUGCUGAAAUGAGUUAAGACUUUGGGGGACUGUUGGGAAGGCAUGAUUGGUUUUGAAAUGUGAGGACAUGAGAUUUGGAGGGGCCAGAGGUGUAAUGAUAUGGUUUUACACUGUCCCCACCCAAAUCUCAUCUUGAAUUGUACUCCCAUAAUUCCAACAUGUUGUGGGAGGAAGCCGGUGGGAGAUAAUUUGAAUCAUGGGGGCAGUUCCCCCAUACUGUUCUUGUGGUAGUGAAUAAGUCUUAUGAGAUCUGAUGGUUUUAUCAGGGGUUUCUGCUUUUGUAUCUUCCUCAUUUUUCCCCUGCUGCCGCCAUGUAAGAAGUGCCUUUCACCUCCUGCCAUGAUUCGGAGACCUCCGCAGCCAUGGGGAACUGUAAGUCCAAAUAAACCUCUUUUUCUU